CUGCUGCCUCCCGUAGGAGUCUGGGCCGUGUCUCAGUCCCAAUGUGGCCGUUCUACCUCUCAGUACGGCUACUGAUCGUCGCCUUGGUGAGCCGUUACCUCACCAACCAGCUAAUCAGACGCGAGCCCAUCUUUAAGCGAUAAAUCUUUGAUACACAAACCAUGCGAUUCAUGUAUAUUAUGCGGUAUUAGCGGUCGUUCCCGACCGUUAUCCCACUCUUAAAGGCAGGUUGCUCACGUGUUACU
rnacentral:rRNA from 1 species